rnacentral:rRNA from 1 species
UACGUAGGGGGCUAGCGUUGCUCGGAAUCACUGGGCGUAAAGAGCGCGCAGGCGGUCGUUCAAGUCGCGUGUGAAAGCCCCCGGCUCAACUGGGGAGGGUCACGCGAUACUGAUCGACUCGAAGGCAGGAGAGGGAAGUGGAAUUCCCGGUGUAGUGGUGAAAUGCGUAGAUAUCGGGAGGAACACCAGUGGCGAAGGCGACUUCCUGGCCUGUUCUUGACGCUGAGGCGCGAAAGCUAGGGGAGCAAACGGG